GGCGGCGUGCUUAACACAUGCAAGUCGAACGGGAAACAUUUUAUUGAAGCUUCGGCAGAUUUAGAUUGUUUCUAGUGGCGGACGGGUGAGUAACGCGUGGGUAACCUGCCUUAUACCGGGGGAUAACAGCCAGAAAUGACUGCUAAUACCGCAUAAGCGCACAGAACCGCAUGGUUCGGUGUGAAAAACUCCGGUGGUAUAAGAUGGACCCGCGUUGGAUUAGCUAGUUGGCAGGGCAGCGGCCUACCAAGGCGACGAUCCAUAGCCGGCCUGAGAGGGUGAACGGCCACAUUGGGACUGAGACACGGCCCAGACUCCUACGGGAGGCAGCAGUGGGUAAUAUUGCACAAUGGGGGAAACCCUGAUGCAGCGACGCCGCGUGAAGGAAGAAGUAUCUCGGUAUGUAAACUUCUAUCAGCAGGGAAGAUAAUGACGGUACCUGACUAAGAAGCCCCGGCUAACUACGUGCCAGCAGCCGCGGUAAUACGUAGGGGGCAAGCGUUAUCCGGAUUUACUGGGUGUAAAGGGAGCGUAGACGGCGCAGCAAGUCUGAUGUGAAAGGCAGGGGCUUAACCCCUGGACUGCAUUGGAAACUGCUGUGCUUGAGUGCCGGAGGGGUAAGCGGAAUUCCUAGUGUAGCGGUGAAAUGCGUAGAUAUUAGGAGGAACACCAGUGGCGAAGGCGGCUUACUGGACGGUAACUGACGUUGAGGCUCGAAAGCGUGNGGAGCAAACAGGAUUAGAUACCCUGGUAGUCCACGCCGUANACGAUGAAUACUAGGUGUUAGGGAGCACAGCUCUUUGGUGCCGCCGCAAACGCAUUAAGUAUUCCACCUGGGGAGUACGUUCGCAAGAAUGAAACUCAAAGGAAUUGACGGGGACC
rnacentral:rRNA from 1 species